rnacentral:rRNA from 1 species
CCUACGUGUGGCAGCAGUAGGGAAUAUUUCUCAAUGGGGGAAACCCUGAAGCAGCAACGCCGCGUGGAGGAUGAAGGUUUUCGGAUUGUAAACUCCUUUUGUUAGAGAAGAUAAUGACGGUAUCUAACAAAUAAUCACCUGCUAACUCCAUGCCAGCAGCCGCCGUCAUACGGAGGGUGCAAGCGUUACUCGGAAUCACUGGUCGGAAAGGGAGCGUAGGCGGGUUAGCAACUCAGAUGUGAAAUCCUCUGGCUGAACCAUAGAACUGCAUUUGAAACUGUUAGUCUAGAGUAUGGGAGAGGUAGGUGGAAUUCUAGGUGUAGGGGUGAAAUGCGUAGAGAGCGAGAGGAAUACUCAUUGCGAAGGCGACCUGCUGGCACAUAACUGACGCUGAUGCGCGAAAGCGUGGGGAGCAAACAGGAUUAGAUACCCCGGUAGUC